rnacentral:rRNA from 1 species
CGAAAAUAUCAUUAACGUUAUACGGGCCUGGCACCCUCUAUGGGUAAAUGGCCUCAUUUAAGAAGGACUUAAAUCGUUAAUUUCUCAUACUAGAAUAUUGAUGUUCCAUACACUGCAUCUCACAUUUGCCAUUGAGACAAAGUGACUUAGUGCUU